UCCGGUAUAGUGUAGGGGUUAACAUAACCCGCUUUCAUAUGUAGAGCCGGGUAGCCCCGGGUUCGAUUCCCGGUACCGGAA
rfam:Pseudogymnoascus pannorum VKM F-4518 (FW-2643) contig_1318, whole genome shotgun sequence.